rnacentral:rRNA from 1 species
UACGUAGGGUGCGAGCGUUAAUCGGAAUUACUGGGCGUAAAGCGUGCGCAGGCGGUUUUGGAAGGCAGAUGUGAAAGCCCCGGGCUUAACCUGGGAAUGGCAUUUGGGACUGCAAGGCUUGAGUGCGGCAGAGGAGACUGGAAUUCCUGGUGUAGCAGUGAAAUGCGUAGAUAUCAGGAGGAAUACCGAUGGCGAAGGCAGGUCUCUGGGCUGACACUGACGCUCAUGCACGAAAGCGUGGGGAGCAAACAGG